rnacentral:rRNA from 1 species
GCAGCUUGCUGCUUUGCUGACGAGUGGCGGACGGGUGAGUAAUGUCUGGGAAACUGCCUGAUGGAGGGGGAUAACUACUGGAAACGGUGGCUAAUACCGCAUAACGUCGCAAGACCAAAGAGGGGGACCUUCGGGCCUCUUGCCAUCAGAUGUGCCCAGAUGGGAUUAGCUUGUUGGUGAGGUAACGGCUCACCAAGGCGACGAUCCCUAGCUGGUCUGAGAGGAUGACCAGCCACACUGGAACUGAGACACGGUCCAGACUCCUACGGGAGGCAGCAGUGGGGAAUAUUGCACAAUGGGCGCAAGCCUGAUGCAGCCAUGCCGCGUGUAUGAAGAAGGCCUUCGGGUUGUAAAGUACUUUCAGCGGGGAGGAAGGUGUUGUGGUUAAUAACCGCAGCAAUUGACGUUACCCGCAGAAGAAGCACCGGCUAACUCCGUGCCAGCAGCCGCGGUAAUACGGAGGGUGCAAGCGUUAAUCGGAAUUACUGGGCGUAAAGCGCACGCAGGCGGUCUGUCAAGUCGGAUGUGAAAUCCCCGGGCUCAACCUGGGAACUGCAUUCGAAACUGGCAGGCUUGAGUCUUGUAGAGGGGGGUAGAAUUCCAGGUGUAGCGGUGAAAUGCGUAGAGAUCUGGAGGAAUACCGGUGGCGAAGGCGGCCCCCUGGACAAAGACUGACGCUCAGGUG